CUGAUCCAUAUGAAUUCCUCUUAUUAAGAAAAAUAAAGCAUCCAGGAUUCAAUGAAGAACUGACUAUCACCUUGUUAAUCAUUCAGAAACAUGUUGCAGGCUUAAGCCAUUUUUGAUAUAGAUACUGAAACAAUUACUUGCUAAGAGCAAACUUGAAGUAACAAUUUGGACAAGACAGCAAAUGCUAUUGUCCAAGUUUUCUAAAGAAGAAUCUGAAGUGAAAUGACAUCAAGAGACCUAUCAAGACCUGUAUCCAGGAAAAGACCAAACCAAUGCAGACCAAACCAAUGCAGAACUCCUAUGUGCUGAUGGUGGUCUUACAUUUCCCUAAGUUUCUGCCGACUAAACUGUGCACACGUUCUCAGGACCUCCUGAAGCUGCGUCACAGGCACUAAUCAAAGAACACAACCAAGAGUUUGGCCUUUUCUUCAGCACUGGGAAUUGUGAUCCAAAGCUUUUCCUGAUGAAGCACAAAGUUGGAGAAAAAAAACGCAAACUAAACAACAACAAUGAAACAGAACAGAGUGAAUCUGCUGUAGCUCAAGAGAGGACGUAGCUGCCCCCACUCCGCAUCCCCGGGCUCGGGUUUGCCUUGCUGACCUCUGCUGCCACCUGGUGCCGCACAGAGAAACUGAGGAGAAACCACAUCAGUCUCCUUCAGCCUCAGCUUCACAUCUGUGGGUCAAGUAACCCUUUCAGAAGCUGAAUAAUGUGGGAAAGCUUUCCUCUCAGGAAAAUGCACACAUCCAACUUUGAGAAGAUGCCCUUGGGGGCGCUUCAAGGAUUCUAGAUAAUAACCCCCUUUCCCGAACAUCCAAGAACCUAAGAUUUUUUUUUUUUUUUUGAGAAAGUCUCGCUCUCUCUCCCAGUCUGGAGUGCAGUGGCGUGAUCUUGGCUCACUGCCAGCUCCACCUCCCAGGUUCACGCCAUUCUCCUGCUUCAGCCUCCCUAGUAGCUGGGGCUACAGGCACCUGCCACCAAACCCGGCUAAUUUUUUUGUAUUUUUAGUAGAGACGGGGUUUCACCGUGUUAGCCAGGAUCGUCUUGAUCUCCUGACCUUGUGAUCCACCCGCCUCGGCCUCCCAAAUUGCUGGGAUUACAGAUGUGAGCCACCGCACCUGGUCCAAGAGCCCAAGUUUUAGAUCUAGAGUGAUGUCAGCAUGACAUUGAUUUCCUGAGGCCCAGGGGCGAAGGAGCUGAGGACAGCAGAGGGGUGAAGGAACUCAGCUACAGACAGCAGCAGCUGAUGCACAGGCCUCCCAGCGCCUGAAGUCACCCGGAAUUGGGAAGUGCUCAGAAGCUUACAAAGCUGCCUCGAGCAGAAGAAUCCCAGACUUCUUAGAGAACCCAGUGACUUUUUGCACCUUAAAUCUGUGAAAUCCUCAUGCUUUCUUCUGCCGUAUCCAUCGUUCAAACAAACAUGAGGCAAAGCUAGACACAUUCCUGAAGGAACCCAAGAAAUUCCUCUCUUUCUCUCUCUGGAAUGAAAUGAAUUCUCUAGACCACCAGUUCUAACCUUCAAAAACGAAACCUGUUUGUGAGAUCUCCUUCAAAUACUACUGUAGACCCCAGUGUUUAUUCAUUAAAUUUUUUAAACAUU
rnacentral:lncRNA from 1 species